GGGAGGGUCCCAGGAGGCCUGAGACAGGGCUGAGUCAGGCUUUGCCCAGUGCGGAGUCAGGAAGGUGCAGAUGAAGCGCAGCGCUAGCCUUGGUCCCUGGUCACAUCACUUCACACCCCACGGCCAACUGUAAGUACUAUUUUUAACUUCUGUGAAAACACAUUGCUUCAGAGGACAAGCCUACAGCUGCAUUUGCCAUGAACCUGUUUCCUGGGUGGAAAGACUGAGGCCUGAAAGGCUAGCCAUGGGGGACAGAGGGAGGAGGCCCAGAGAUCCUAGCUGGGAGAGGGAGGAAGGUCUGACCACCACCCCCCAUCAGAACCUCUAGACCCAGGCCUGUGGCAAUGGGUGGUUCCCCAAAGAGGCCUGUCUUCUGUGGCAGGGCACAUCUGGGCCUGGGCUGGUAGUCCAGGCAGGUCCUGCCGCUCCUGACCCUCUGCUUGCCCAUCUAAGAAAAGGUUGGAACUGCUCACCUGGUCUGAUAUCUUACUUUCCUGUGUUCCUACCCAAGUCCAGUGCUUUGUCCUCACUGUAUAUGAACCUGUGUACCCAGUCCUGCAACCACCAUAUGCCCACUGUGUAACCAGCCCUGUGCCCACUGCCUGGACAGCCCUUUAAGCGCUGUGUCCCUACUCUGCCUCAUCCUGUAAUUGCUACUUGGCCACCUGGCAUCUACCAUGACCUAGCCCUCUACCCUGUGCUCUGCCCUCCUUCUGGCCAAGGUGAAGUUGGCACAAUGUCACAAGAGCUAGAACAUUCUGACUUGAGGAUUCUGAGCAGAGGCCUACCCCCCCCAUGUCGUCCCCAUCCCCACCUCUGUGGGAUACUGGUCCUGGGCCUCAAGGACAUGUGGCUCUGGGGAGGGGGCUCUCUGAGGCACAGGCAGAGGAGAACCAUCUGGAGCAGAAAGACUGCCAAGGAGCUGGUGUCCCUGGAUCGGGAGCUGGGGAACAUGGGGGAAGGGAGUUAGGGCCUGAGCCUGGGCCCCUCACCCACUUCUGCUCCUCAGGACUGAGAUGUGAAAAGGCUUUGCCCUUCCGACAAGGGCCUCAUGUCACACACUUGGGACUGCCUUCCUGAGUCAGGGCUUAAGUCUCAAGUUGCCAGAUGGGCGAUGGGGAGAAAGAGCCAAGUCUGGCAUCUGUGGUAAACUGAGAACCCAGGGGUUUCCUCAGCAUUGCCCCUGCCUACCUUUCUCCCUUGGCCUUAUACAUGCUCCCAUCUCAGGAGCACUACCCUCACUUUAGGGCUGGCCUAGGCAGAUGGUCACCUGGCUGGCAAGGAAAGAGGAGGCCAAUCUAGGGCUGGCAGACUUCACCAGGGUGCCUUGGCCUUUCUGUGUCCCAAGAUUCCCUGGGCAGGCCCCCAUUCCUUAGGGGGGCGGGGCCCCUGGUUUCCCACACUCUCUCACCCUCCCCCAGGUCACUGGGGGCUGUGAUGUGUGGAGUUGCCAUGGCAACAAAGUGGGGGCAGGGCACCUAGGGCAUGGAGCAGGACUAUGGAAGUCACCAAGAAAGUGGGGGGCCCUGAUCCAUCGGGCCCCCAGGGCCACCCCUUGGCUGGCAGCCAGCAGCUGGGGGGUGGCCUUAGAGGAUCCCAGGGAACAUGGAUAAACUCAGGAUCUGUAUACUUGAGGCAGGGGGUGUCAUUGUCCACCGAGGCCAUCACCGAUGGGGCAUAUGGCCCAGCCUCCCAGGCCCACACCCCUGAGCCCAAUCACCAGCAUCUCCGGGACGCUGCUGAGGUUAGCUCCCAAUGUGGCUGUGAGCGGGCCUCCCAGGAUGUCCUGAGACUCUCCUCCACUAGCCCGUUUCCAAGCCCCAUCGUGGGAGCUCAAACUCAUCUCGUCAUGGAGAACAGGACCCUGACCCUACCCGUGUGCACGCGUGGUGAUGGUACCAGUGACAUGGCCCAGCAUGGACUCUGCUGCUCCCGGCUUCAGGUGCAGGUUUCGGGGGAGGGCAAGGCUCCAGCUAAGGUCCUAGUGGGCUGGGGCAAAGGCCCCUGCAGCCCUGACCAGAUAGCCCCGUUGGGCAUUAGGAAGAGCCGAUGGCUACCCUAUUUUCUUUCAGGGGAGGAUGGCUCAGCUGCAACCCAAGGUCCUCUUCCACCUCUAGCCCAAAAUCAGGGUCAGGGCAAGUGCCCAUGUCCGGCUCAGGCUCCUCCAACUCCAACUCAGGCAAAUACUCCAGCUCUGGAUACAACCCCAACAUCAGCAGCAGUUGAAACUUACACCUGCAACCUUGACCGCUUGACUGAUACCAAUACUGUCACCAAGGGCCUGUCCCAAGACCUCUUAGCCAAGAAAUGUGACAACCAAUGGCCGAUCCACAUAGAGUCUUCCAAAGGAGUCACAUCCUGCCAGAACAAAGAGAACUCCUAUUCUCAGGAUGAGCCUCCCACCACAGUACCCAUUCUGGAAGAGUUCCCAGCCCAGGUCCAGGAGCUUGAGGUUGCCAGAAGGCCAGUGUUACCCAAGCAGCCUGAACACCAAGUGGAGAAGCCCCUGGCCUGUACCUCCAGGCCAGGCAGCCCCAAAGCAGGCUCAGAGCCCCCAGGAACCCCUAAGUCCCAGAGGGUUGACCACAAUAUCCGUGGCUCUCAGCCAGGUCAGCAGCCCCUCAAUGUUUGCAACAACACCUGCUCCAAUGUGCCGCUGUCUGCCUAUCAAGUAAAUAGCCAAAAGCAGUCCUCAGUACAGUCUCCCAGGGAAGCCAUGCAGGUACCCCCCUCCAGUGCCCCUACCUGCCAGCUUCGGGAUGCUGUGGAAGACCGUGUGCUGGUGUUUGAUAUGGCCACAGGCAACACCAGGAUGGGGCUGCUGUGCCAUGACCCCAUGGGCUCACGGGCCGUGCUGGUGGGCCUCGUGCCCAGCCACCCAUCCCUCUAUGCCUCUGAAAAUAUGCUGUCCACCCGGCUGUUGCCCAUGCCCAUCUUCUCUCCUGACAGCAAUCGCUCCAGCUUCUGGUCCACCGCGCCCAUGGUGUCUAGUCCUGUGCCCUCCAGCCUUUCAUCUGGAAGCUACCGAGAGGUGGCCCUCGUUCCCAAAGAGGCCAGACUGAACUUGGAGUCUCGGGGCUCUCCUGGUACUGAGACACCUAUCAGGAUGGGGAUGCUCACUGGGCCUGGUCCACUGGGAAUGCCCCUCCAAUUUGGAGAGAGGACACUGAGCCAUGCCCAUGAUCCUAGCUGGUCCCAACCCGUUGCUGAAAAAAAUGAGGCUAGUCACACCAUCUGGAUGCUGGAGACCCCCAAGGUGCAGGACACCUCUAUGGUCCAGGCCAAGAAACAGCAGUGGGCAAACUCAGAGCAGGCCCCAGAGUCUGUACCAUCAGCCAAAAUCCAGGAGGUGCCCAGACCUGUGCUCCAGGAGGAUAUAGGCCACCACACUCAGAAAGGGGUCAUUAGCUCUCACUCUGACAACCCUCAGGUCAAAGGCACUGGGAAGGCCCCCCUUGCUUGUCAGCCCCCACUAGCUGAGCAGUAUCCCUUCUCCAGACAGCCCCCUUCAACCGGUCAGCCUCCCUCCACAGAGCAGUGUCUCCACACCAGGAAGACCCACCUUUCUGGACAGCCACCCUUAGCUGAGCCAGCCCCCUCUGCCAAGCAGCCCCCUCUUCCUGAUCAGCCCCAUUUCAUUGGGACCCCUAUGUCCAGGCAGCUUUCUUUCACUGGGAAGCCUCCCCUCUCCCAAAAACAUCCCAUCCCCAACGAGCCCACCUUCUCAAGAGGGCUCCCCACCGCUAGGGACCCUGGUCAAGCCUCCACCCUGUGCCAGGAAGGUGAGGCUUCAGGCCCGUCUACCCGGUCGGCAGUACAUCAGGUGCCCCUGGCCCCUGAAGAGACUUGUGUCUAUGCAAACAGAGAAAAGGUUGGUGCUAGUGCUGCUCAAAGCUCCAGCACACAUCAGCUCGCAUCCUGGCAGCCUGGCAGCUCCCCCAGGGUGCAGGAGGAGCAGCUUUCCUUGAUCACAUUCACUACACCCAGUGUUGGUUGCAAGGUCUUGCCCAUGGCCAUGGUGGGCAAUGAGCCCCAGGGCCCCCGGUUCAAGCUGACAGCUGAGGACAUUACACACUCGCCAGUGGUCACCCACCUUGGCCUGCUCCAGGGGGCCUGCUAUGAGCUGGUCCCAACCGUGGAUGCUCUACCGGUACAGUCCCCAGUGCUCUGCCGCCACUCACUGUGCCCCUACCAGGACAUGGCAGCCGUGGUGAUUGAUACAGGCACAGGCUUCACCAAAUGUGGACUGGCUGGAGAGGACCAUGUCCUCAGUGUGGUGCCCUCACGUGUCCAGCUGCUGCAGCACCCAGUCCAGGGCCAGCCCAGGUAUGCGGUGCCUGAGAACCGAGAGGGCUCCUACUCUGUGCUGAAUCGAGGAGUGGUCUCCGACUGGGAUGCACUGGAGGUGCUGUGGCAGCACCUGUUUUAUUGCAGGCUGGGUGUGCAGCCUGAGGAACUGGCUGUGCUUGUGGCCGACUCACCCAUCUCACCGCGAACAAACCGAGAAAAGGUAGCUGAAAUACUCUUUGAGCGGUUCCACGUGCCAGCCAUGCAGACAGUGCAUCAGGCCCUGCUGGCACUCUAUGCUUAUGGACGAACAACUGGGCUGGUGCUGGGCAGUGGCCACGGCACCUCCUAUGUGGCGCCCAUCAUCACAGGGGAUCUGGCCCCACUUGACACCUACCGGCUGGAUGUGGCCGGUGCUGACCUCACAGAGUACUUGGCUCAGCUGUUGCUGGCAAGUGGCCACUCACCGCUCAAGGCAGGGCUAGUCAACCAGAUUAAAGAGGCCUGCUGCUAUGUGGCCAUGGACAUGACGGCUGAGAUGGCCCGGGCCCAGGCCCAGGCCCGGGUGGACUUUGUGCUUCCCGACAAGCAGGUCAUCACGCUAGGCUCUGAGCGCUUCUGCUGCCCCGAGGCCCUUUUCCAGCCCAAUCUGCUAGGCCUCAAUCAGCCGGGCCUCCCACAGCUGGCCCUCCUAAGUAUGAGCCGGCUGGAGGCCAAGCAGCGGGAGCAGCUGCUGGCCAAUGUGGUGCUGGACGGUGGCAGCACCCUGUUGAGUGGCUUUCCUGAGCGACUGAGACAGGAGCUGGGCCCUGGGGCCACUGUGCUGGGCUCUCCGCACCGUGCUGUUGCUGCUUGGCUCGGAGGCUCCAUCAUGGCGUCCCGGAACUCCUUCCAGAGCCUGUGGCUCAGCCGCCGUGAGUAUGAGGAGGAGGGCCCAUGGGCCAUCUACAAGUACCAUCUGUGAACACAUAAAAGUUCUGGUUCUGCUUCCUUUGUCCACCUUGGCAUAUUUUAGGCACAGGAUGGUGGAGAGAACGGCAGGGGUCAGGGAUGGGGCCCUUGGCACUCCCAAGGCACACCCUACCUCAGCACACUGGAAUUCCAUGGGCCUUGGCAAUCCUAUCCUUUCCAGAGAGCCCCAGAGCCCCUUGACUGGCAUUGGCCCUGGUCUAGCCUGACCUUUACUGUACCCCAAGGGCAAACACAGAGUGUGGCUGCUGUGGGUUUUGCCCUGUUGCUUUGGCGACAAGCUCAAUUACCCUUGAUUGCCAGCUGGUUGCCAUGGCAAUUUCAAACAUAAUGUAAUAACCCACACAGCCUGGAGUGAGUCAUGAAGGGGGGAGGGGACAGCCCCCUCCCCUAGCUCCAGAGGAAAAGACUGCUUGCCCUCCCCCAUGUUGGGCCCUAUACAGAUGGCUGAGGCCAGCGACACUGACAACAGGCCAACAGUUCCACAGAUGGCAGGGGGCCUGGAACAUUUGUUGCCCCCAAGGGAGGGUCCCUGUCAGAGUCAGGGCUUCUCUUGGGGGAGGUGGCCUGGUAAUGUAAGUACGGCCUAAAGUCUGAGCCUUGGCUGGAGCUCUAUGAUGGGUUGGCACAGGCUUUCGUCAGCUGGUCAGAAUAUGAAGGUAUAGGAAUGCUGGCCUUUGGUGCCCUGGGGUAGGACAUCAAGGCAAGGGGGCAGAUAAGUCCCAGAUCCUGGGUGAGAGGUACAACCUGAGUUGGGGACUGAGGCUCUGGCCUGCUUUGCAGUCUCUGGAUAUGGAGGCUCACACUUUAUCCUUUCUGACUAUCCGACUCUGGUGGGGGUCAGAACUAUCAACUUUGGACUCCCUGCUCCUCUUCAGCCUCGCAAUCUGGGCAGCCCCUGCCCACAGGGUGCCAGGGUACAGGCCUCCUCAGGAGAUCCUCAUAGAGGCUAUGGGGCAAUGCCAAUGCCAAUUGCCCCUGCUCUUAUUCCAAAGUCCUGUGUUAAAGAGCUUCCCACUGUCCCUCUGGCCAGGUGGUGGUGAAAAACCAGGAUCCCAACCUUGUCUGGCUCUGAAUAGUGAGGGUAGGAAUAAGGGUCCAUAUCAGCCCAGUCCAUGGCCUGGAAUUUCGAGAGGAGGCAUACAGCUGGUAUUGCUACUCCCUACCCAGAGGGCAGCUGGGGUUGAAGUCAAGAACCCCUACCCUGCCUGUACCCCUCUGUCUGGGAGCUGAGGGACAAGCCAUGCCCCUGUCCCAGUCCUGGGUUCCAAUCAUUUGGUUGCCCCCUCUACCAAGAGCAGAGAUCUGGUUACCCUGUCCCCCUGCCACACACACACCUGAGAGUGAGGGGCUGCCCUAAGUGGAGAGACUAGAGAUGGCCAGUGAUAUAGGGUCAUCGUAGCCCCUGAGCCAAGACGCAUUGGGGCUACUUUCACACCCUGAGUCAGCCUCCACUGUCCUGAAGCCUGUGUCAGGCAGGAAGGGGACCAGUAGCUCUAGGGACUAGCUAGCUACAGCAUCCACGUGCACACACGAGCAAGCAUGCCCCGGUGCACACAGAAUGCAAACACAUGCGCCCCUGGGCACCACUGCACACAGUGCUGUUGCCAUCUCCUUUGGCAUAAGAGCACACACACACAGACAUAUUCACACAUGUGCACAUUCACCCUGCCACGUGCUCUCACCCACAGGCACAUGGAAUAUGCACGGGACCAAGAAGAGGUGGAGCACUGCCAGCAGCAGGCAGGGCUCUAGCGAGCCACCUCUUCCCCUGCCUCUGAAUCCCCCACAUUCCAGCUUUUCUUUGGCACAGCUUCUCUGUGCCUGGAUAACCGUGACCUUUAGGAAAGUCACAAAAUGUGUGUGACGUGUGGGGUCAGCAAGCCAUGGCUCAGCUGUACCAUACAACUCCAAGAGUCAUUAUUUCAAUGAUAGUAGGCAAACAACAGGAAGGACUGAAUGCCAGGCCAUUUAUUCAUUCUGCAGACAUGGAAUGAGCACAAUGAGAUGAGACACAGGCUCUGCCCUGCAGAUGCCCAGCUUGCCAGGAAUUCCUACCCAGUGAUGGAGUGGGUGCUGUGAUUGAGACCACCCAGAGCCAGGGAGCCAAGAGCUGGUACCCACCUUGCCUAGAAAAGUGACCAAGCCAGGGAAGGGUUCCUUAACACCUCAUCUGGAGAAAGAUAUUGAGUGAUCCUGUUUGAGUAGUCAUUUCCCAGGCUAGAAUUCCAGCCCCAGUCCCAGCCCCACUUCAUCACUUGGGCAGUCACUGCUGUCAACAGCUAUGGGGAGCCAUGCAGGGGAGACUCCCUCAACAGGGCCAUGGAGAUGAACCACACAGGAUAGGGUCAUCAGGCUCACUGAGAAGUUUCAGAUGGGGUGCAGCCCAACUCCAGGCACAGAGGAAUGUAAGCAUGGCUUUCAGAUACUGGCUUCAAGGCUUGUGAGUGGGGUGAGGCAAGGGUCUGUGCGUAUCCCUGACAAGGGACAGAGAAAUGGCAAGGACUUCCUUCAGAGCCCCUUCCCGGCAAUUCUGAGCCUCCCUCCAAUCAGAUGCCAGGUUUGGUGGGGCACCUUGGUGUUAUAGUUCUCCUGUAUCCUCAUAUCCCAGCCCAGGCCACUAAUGGUGAUGCUGCUCAUGAAGUGUCUGAGGGUGAUAAAACUGGGAAGAAAAUAGAGUGCACCAUGUCGUAGAUAACUUUUAAAGCUUGAGAAGUUUGGUGCCACACAGGAGGGAGCAGACAGGGCCAGCCUGGGAAAGGCCUUGACUUUGUAGGAGAGGAGGGUGGGAUGGGUAGGAGACUCUGCCACCAAGGUCUGGAACCCUCAUUUUGCACACAGACAUGCUUGUGUGUUAACAAGCUAAGGGCAGGCCAGUCUGUAACUGAGCUUGUCCUAGCAACCGCCCACUUAGUUCUUCUACGUGGGUUCUCCUCUUUGGGUCAGCUUUUGGUUGCUGGGCAGAGUGCCGGUCCCCUGGGGACUACUAUCCGCAAGACACUCCUGGGCGGUUCCAGGACUCAGGCCCUCCCCAAUACUUUCUACUCCGCACCCUCUACAGUGGGCAUAGGAAGGCCCCUCUGGCCCUUGUUGCCUGCUCAGUCCCAGAGUCCAAGGUAGCCUUUGAGUGCCUGGCCGCUGCUACUCCUCCUCAACCCGCCUUCUAGUGGGAUUCAUUCCUGCCUCAGUCUUCUCCACGGUCGGGGCGGAGCCGACUGAUGGAGGCCCCGCCCCUAGCCCGCCCCCGGGCCGGGGUGCGAAUCCGGUGCUGGCGAGCGGCGGGAGAUGCUGGAGGUUCGCGAGCCGAAGUGGCUGCAGCUGGCGCCGCGUCUGCCCCGCGUGCCCGAGCGGAUUCUACCCGUCGCCCCCGGAGCCCUCAGCGCCGCACUGAACUCGAGAUCGCUUCCUCCCUCUGACCCACCAGCGCUGCAGCUCAGAGCCUGGCAAUGCCGUUUGGGUGUGUGACUCUGGGCGACAAGAAGAACUAUAACCAGCCAUCGGAGGUGACUGACAGAUAUGAUUUGGGACAGGUCAUCAAGACUGAGGAGUUCUGUGAGAUCUUCCGGGCCAAGGACAAGACAACAGGCAAGCUCCAUACCUGCAAGAAAUUCCAGAAGCGAGAUGGCCGCAAGGUGCGGAAGGCAGCCAAGAAUGAGAUAGGCAUCCUCAAGAUGGUGAAGCAUCCCAACAUCCUGCAACUUGUGGAUGUGUUUGUAACUCGCAAGGAGUACUUUAUCUUCCUGGAGCUGUGAGUGUGGGUCUGGGGUUCCAGGAUUCCUCAUUCCCCCACGUCUUUACCUGCUCUGCCCUCUGCAGCCAGGGAAAGCCCCACUUCUGGACCCUUGGGGUCCCAGGUCCCUGUGCCUUGCCCAGCCAGCCUGGUGUAGGCAGCCUGCCCACAUGCUCCUGCCCCACCUCCCGCUCCUGCCCACGCCGGGCUCAGGGGCUGGUGUCCCUCAGGGCCACGGGGAGGGAGGUGUUUGACUGGAUCCUGGACCAGGGCUACUACUCGGAGCGAGACACGAGCAACGUGGUGCGGCAGGUCCUGGAGGCGGUGGCCUACUUGCACUCACUCAAGAUCGUGCAUAGGAACCUCAAGCUGGAGAACCUGGUUUACUACAACCGGCUGAAGAACUCAAAGAUCGUCAUCAGCGACUUUCACCUGGCUAAGCUAGAGAAUGGCCUCAUCAAGGAGCCCUGUGGGACCCCCGAGUAUCUGGCCCCAGAGGUGGUAGGCCGGCAGCGGUAUGGACGCCCUGUGGACUGCUGGGCCAUUGGAGUCAUCAUGUACAUCCUGCUUUCCGGGAACCCACCUUUCUAUGAGGAGGUGGAGGAAGAUGACUAUGAGAACCAUGAUAAGAAUCUUUUCCGCAAAAUCCUGGCUGGUGACUAUGAGUUUGACUCUCCAUACUGGGAUGACAUUUCGCAGGCAGCCAAAGACCUGGUCACAAGGCUGAUGGAGGUGGAGCAAGACCAGCGGAUCACUGCAGAAGAGGCCAUCUCCCAUGAGUGGAUUUCUGGCAAUGCUGCUUCUGAUAAGAACAUCAAGGAUGGUGUCUGUGCCCAGAUUGAAAAGAACUUUGCCAGGGCUAAAUGGAAGAAGGCUGUCCGAGUGACCACCCUCAUGAAACGGCUCAGGGCACCGGAGCAGUCCAGCACGGCUGCAGCCCAGCCUGCCCCAGCCACAGACACUGCCACCCCUGGGGCUGCAGGUGGGGCCACUGCUGCAAGUGGACCUGCCCCAGCUGUUGGGGGCAGUGCCACCCAAGCCACAGAGGGUGAUGCUGCAAAGAGCGAUAAUGUAGCCCCCGCAGACCGUAGUGCCACCCCAGCUACAGAUGGCAGUACCACCCCAGCCACUGAUGGGAGCAUCACCCCAGCCACUGAUGGGAGCAUCACCCCAGCCACUGAUGGGAGUGUCACCCCAGCCACCGACAGAAGUGUUACUCCAGCCACUGAUGGGAGAGCCACACCUGCCAUGGAAGAAAGCACUGUGCCCACCAUCCAAAGCAGUGCCACACCAGCCACCAAGGCUGCUGCCAUUCCUGAGCCGGCUUUGGCCCAGCCGGACAGCACAGCCCCAGGGGGCGCAACAGGCCAGGCUCUACCCUCUAGUAAAGGGAAAGAGGCUGCUGGCUCUGCCCAGGAGUCUCGGAGGGAGACCAGCUGAGUGGGCAGGCUGGUGGGGGAUGGGGGAUGGGCAAGAGGGUGGGAGAGUAGAUGAGGGGCUUCGCACUGUACAUAGAAUCACUGGCAUGAUGCCCUCACUGCCCCCUGCCCCUGCCUCCCAGCACAGGGCAUGUCUGGGGGCCACAGGAGAGCAGUCUCAUCUCCUGUGUGUAUGUGUGUGAGUGGUGGGGAGGCCAGAGGCAGGACCAGCCCCAGCCCCUGCAUGGAUUCCUUGUGGCUUUUGUCUUUUGCUAGCUUCAUCAGUUUCUGUUCCUUGUGGGAUGCUGCUCUAGGGAUACUCAGGAGGUCCCUGCUCCUGUUCCCUUUUCCUUUUUGCCUCACAGUUCCCCCAGGCAGGCCCUGCAGGUCCCAUCCUCUCCCAGGCCCUAAAUUGGGUGGCCUUGCCCUGAGAGCUGGUCCUCCAGCGAGGCCCUGUCAGCGGUCUUAGGCUCCUGCACAUGAAGGUAUGUGCCUGUGGUGUGUGGGCUGCUCUAGGCGUGAAACAGGCUGGUACAGAGAAUGCAAUAAUCUAAAGCAGUAUGCUUCAAGACUGGUUGCAUGGCUGGGGGCACUGCUUGGUAGCUGAGGGGUUCCUGAAAAGUGAAAAAGAAUGAGUAGAAAGGUAGACACUUCCAUCUUUGUCCCUGGGAAGUCUCUCCCAAGACCCAUGUGCUAUUUCCUGCCCUCCUGGGUCCUGCAGUGGUUGCCCUGUACCCUGAGCUUCAUGAGUCUGUAAAGGGAAGGAGGAGCAAUUAGGAUGUGGCAAUGAGAUCUGGGAGGGCAGAGUGCAGGCUUAGCACCUAGUGUACCAGCCUAGCUGAGUCCUUACCCUGGGGCAGACAAGGAGGGCUGCCCCUGGCUCUUCCCAUAUGACCCGCCUCAGGCUCAGUCCACAGUCCUCUCCAUCCCAGAGGGCCAGCUGCAUGGCAGUGUCCCACAGUCUGAUUUGGGGGGUUGCCCUUCUUGGGGGCAGAUUUUCUGCUCUCUCAGUUCAACAAAAUAGAAGGAACCCUCUCUAUGUCAGUGACCCACUUCCCCUUUUGUCAAGGCUUAGAGUGAGGCCUAAGUGCCUCUGAGCCCUGCUGAGUUGCUUUUGCUGGAAUCAAAGAGUGGAAUAAAGCUCCCCAGUUUCCUGACGGAGGCUCCUGGCAAGUGCCCUUUGUCAGACCCCACUAUGGCCUGGGCAGGCAGCCACACUGGUCCUGGCCCUCACUUGGCACUCGGGGAUAGUCCUGCCCUUCUCCCUGCAUGCCUGUGGGUCUGCUCUGGUGUAUGAAGGUCGGUGGGCCGUGUACCUGCUGAACCUGGCAAAUAAAUUUCAUUCUGCCAAA